UCCCGUGUUGGGUACUGGUUUGUUUCUCGGUGAGGUCGGUUUCUCGGUGAAGCUGAUUGUAGAUCCGAAGGGUAAGAGUCUGGUUCGAUGGUGGCGCCUUGCAGGUGGUUGGAGGACCUUCUUCUUCACCUUCUCACGGGACUUCUAUGUUGUAGUAAGUGGACGUUUGAUUACGUCGUAUCUAUAUCCGAAGGGUGGAUCUAGUAAUGGUCCCUCUUGCGGGCUAUGAAGUCCCAGGUUCUUGGACGUUAUCGUGUGCAUCGAUAAGUCAUGGUAUGGGUGUUAGAGGUGAGGUUAUCGUGUGGCGAGCUAUGGGCAGCAGCGGUAAACCCCGAUCAGUGAUCUGUGUUUAUAAUUUCUCUAGUCUGCUAAGUUGAUUUGGUUCAAGCACUUGUGUAGUAGUUUAUUGUAUUUCUGGGUGUUGUUGCGGUCUUAGAUCUUUUGCUUUGUAUCCGUAAGUCACCCCGGUGUGGGUUCUAACUGCGUGUUGUCUAGGCUCUUGUUUUUUGGGAAUGUCUUGUUAUCCGCCAA